UACGUAGGGUGCAAGCGUUGUCCGGAAUUAUUGGGCGUAAAGAGCUCGUAGGCGGUCUGUCGCGUCUGCUGUGAAAACUCAGGGCUUAACCCUGAGCUUGCAGUGGGUACGGGCAGACUAGAGUGCGGUAGGGGAGACUGGAAUUCCUGGUGUAGCGGUGAAAUGCGCAGAUAUCAGGAGGGAACACCGGUGGCGAAGGCGGGUCUCUGGGC
rnacentral:rRNA from 1 species